rnacentral:rRNA from 1 species
AGUCCCCUACGGGGCGCAGCAGUGGGGAAUCUUCCGCAAUGGGCGAAAGCCUGACGGAGCAACGCCGCGUGAUCGAAUGAAGGCCUUCGGGUUGUAAAGAUCUGUUGACAGGGACGAAUAAGCAAUGCGAAUAGUUUUGUGCAUGACGGUACCUGUUUAGAAAGCUCCGGCUAACUACGUGCCUGCAGCCGCGGUAAUACGUAGGGAGCAAGCGUUGUCCGGAAUUACUGGGCGUAAAGGGCGCGUAGGUGGGCGCUUAAGUCAGGUGUGAAGACUCCGGGCUAAACCUGGAGACUGAACUUGAA